GGCGGCUCGAGUGGUGGCCACUAUUACUGGGCUUAAAGCGUUCGUAGCUGGUCUGUUAAGUCUCUGGGGAAAUCUGCCGGCUUAACCGGCAGGCGUUCCAGGGAUACUGGCAGACUAGGGACCGGGAGAGGUGAGGGGUACUCCAGGGGUAGGAGUGAAAUCCUGUAAUCCUUGGGGGACCACCUGUGGCGAAGGCGCCUCACCAGAACGGCUCCGACAGUGAGGGACGAAAGCUGGGGGAGCAAACC
rnacentral:rRNA from 1 species